rnacentral:tRNA from 1 species
GGGUCAGUAACUCAACUUGGCAGAGUGCCGGUUUCCAAAACCGGUGGUUGCAGGUUCGAACCCUGCCUGGCCCGCCA